AUGUUAGCGGCGGACGGGUGAGUAACACGUGGGUAACCUACCUAUAAGACUGGGAUAACUCCGGGAAACCGGGGCUAAUACCGGAUAAUAUUUUGAACCGCAUGGUUCGAUAGUGAAAGACGGUUUCGGCUGUCACUUAUAGAUGGACCCGCGCCGUAUUAGCUAGUUGGUAAGGUAACGGCUUACCAAGGCGACGAUACGUAGCCGACCUGAGAGGGUGAUCGGCCACACUGGAACUGAGACACGGUCCAGACUCCUACGGGAGGCAGCAG
rnacentral:rRNA from 1 species